rnacentral:rRNA from 1 species
GAUGAACGCUAGCUACAUGCUUAACACAUGCAAGUCGAGGGACCGGCGCACGGGUGAGUAACACGUAUCCGACCUGCCCUUUACUCGGGGAUAGCCUUUCGAAAGAAAAAUUAAUACCCGAACUAAUGGAGGGGGAUGCGUUCCAUUAGGUUGGUGGUGAGGUAACGGCUCACCAAGCCUUCGAAGGCUAGGGGUGAUGAGAGGAAGGUCCACCACAUUGGAACUGAGACACGGUCCAAACCACGACGGGACGAAGCAGUGAGGAAUACUAGUGAAGGGGCGCUAGCCGGAACCAGCCAAGUAGCGGGAAGGAUGAAGGGUUAUGGGUCGUAAAUUUCUUUUAUAUAAGAAUAGGUAUUAUAUGAAUAAGGAUCGGCUAACUCCGUGCCAGCAGCCGCGGUAAUAC